rnacentral:rRNA from 1 species
UACAGAGGUCCCAAGCGUCGUUCGGAUUCACUGGGCGUAAAGGGUGCGUAGGUGGUGAGGUAAGUCGGAUGUGAAAGCUCCGAGCUCAACUCGGAAAUGGCAUUGGAAACUACCUUGCUCGAGGGUUUGAGGGGGGGACUGGAAUACUUGGUGUAGCAGUGAAAUGCGUAGAUAUCAAGUAGAACACCAGUGGCGAAGGCGAGUCCCUGGAAAACUCCUGACACUGAGGCACGAAAGCUAGGGGGAACAAAACAGG